rnacentral:rRNA from 1 species
CUAAUAUUAAGUUAAGGACUCUAGAGAUACUGCCUGGGUAACCAGGAGGAAGGGGGGGACGACGUCAAAUCAUCAUGCCUCUUACGAGUGGGGCAGCACACGUGCUACAAUGGUCGGUACAAAGAGAAGCAAUAUGGUGACAUGGAGCAAAUCUCAAAAAAACCGAUCUCAGUUCGGAUUGAAGUCUGCAACUCGACUUCAUGAAGUCGGAAUCGCUAGUAAUCGUAGAUCAGCUACGCUACGGUGAAUACGUUCUCGGGUUUUGUACACACCGCCCGUCGCACCAUGGGAGUUGGUAAUGCCCAAAGUCGGUGAGUUAACUUCGGAGACCAUUGCCUAAGGCAGG